rfam:Rhizobacter sp. Root1221 contig_3, whole genome shotgun sequence.
GGAGAGGUGGCAGAGUGGUCGAUUGUACCUGACUCGAAAUCAGGCGUACGGCAACGUACCGAGGGUUCGAAUCCCUCCCUCUCCG